AUUGAACGCUGGCGGCAUGCCUUACACAUGCAAGUCGAACGGUAACGGGCCUUCGGGUGCCGACAAGUGGCGAACGGGUGAGUAAUACAUCGGAACGUGCCCGAUCGUGGGGGAUAACGAGGCGAAAGCUUUGCUAAUACCGCAUACGAUCUACGGAUGAAAGCAGGGGACCGCAAGGCCUUGCGCGGACGGAGCGGUCGAUGGCAGAUUAGGUAGUUGGUGGGAUAAAAGCUUACCAAGCCGACGAUCUGUAGCUGGUCUGAGAGGAUGAUCAGCCACACUGGGACUGAGACACGGCCCAGACUCCUACGGGAGGCAGCAGUGGGGAAUUUUGGACAAUGGGCGCAAGCCUGAUCCAGCCAUGCCGCGUGCAGGAUGAAGGCCUUCGGGUUGUAAACUGCUUUUGUACGGAACGAAAAGCCUUCUUUUAAUACAGGAGGGUCAUGACGGUACCGUAAGAAUAAGCACCGGCUAACUACGUG
rnacentral:rRNA from 1 species